rnacentral:rRNA from 1 species
AUUGAACGCUGGCGGAAUGCUUUACACAUGCAAGUCGAACGGUAGAGGGGGCAACCCCUCGAGAGUGGCGAACGGGUGAGUAAUAUAUCGGAACGUGCCCAGUCGUGGGGGAUAACGUAGCGAAAGUUACGCUAAUACCGCAUACGAUCUAAGGAUGAAAGCGGGGGAUCGCAAGACCUCGCGCGAUUGGAGCGGCCGAUAUCAGAUUAGGUAGUUGGUGGGGUAAAGGCACACCAAGCCAACGAUCUGUAGCUGGUCGGAGAGGACGACCGGCCACACUGGAACUGACACCCGGUCAAGCCUCCUACGGGAGGCAGCAGUGGGGAGUUUUGGAGAAUGGCCGCAAGUCUGAUCCAGCCAUUCCGCGUGCAGGAUGAAGGCCCUCGGGUUGUAAACUGCUUUUGUACGGAACGAAAAGGUCUCUCUUAAUACGGGGGGCUCAUGACGGUACCGUAAGAAUAAGCACCGGCUAACUACGUGCCAGCCGCCGCCGUAA